UACGGGAGGCAGCAGUGGGGAAUAUUGCACAAUGGGCGAAAGCCUGAUGCAGCUAUGCCGCGUGUAUGAAGAAGGCCUUAGGGUUGUAAAGUACUUUCAUCGGGGAGGAAAAACAAAACUAAUAAUUUUAUUUCUUGACGUUACCCGAAAAAGAAGCACCGGCUAACUCCGUGCCAGCAGCCGCGGUAAUACGGAGGGUGCUAGCGUUAAUCCAGAAUUACUGGGCGUAAAGAGCACGUAGGUGGUUUUUUUAAGUCAGAUGUGAAAUCCCUGGGCUUAACCUAGGAACUGCAUUUUGAAACUGAAAUACUAGAGUAUCGUAGAGGGAGGUAGAAUUCUAGGUGUAGCGGUGAAAUGCGUAGAUAUCUGGAGGAAUACCUGUGGCGAAAGCGGCCUCCUAAACGAAUACUGACACUGAGGUGCGAAAGCGUGGGGAGACGAAACAGGGAUUAGAUACC
rnacentral:rRNA from 1 species